rnacentral:rRNA from 1 species
GCACGGGCUUCGGCCUGGUGGCGAGUGGCGAACGGGUGAGUAAUGCAUCGGAACGUGCCCAUUUGUGGGGGAUAACUACGCGAAAGCGUGGCUAAUACCGCAUACGCCCUGAGGGGGAAAGCGGGGGAUUCUUCGGAACCUCGCGCAAUUGGAGCGGCCGAUGUCAGAUUAGCUUGUUGGUGAGGUAAAGGCUCACCAAGGCGACGAUCUGUAGCGGGUCUGAGAGGAUGAUCCGCCACACUGGGACUGAGACACGGCCCAGACUCCUACGGGAGGCAGCAGUGGGGAAUUUUGGACAAUGGGGGCAACCCUGAUCCAGCCCUGCCGCGUGAGUGAAG